CCUACGGGUGGCAGCAGUGAGGAAUAUUGGUCAAUGGACGAGAGUCUGAACCAGCCAUGUCGCGUGCAGGAUGACUGCUCUAUGAGUUGUAAACUUCUUUUGUACGGGAGUAAAACGUUAUACGUGUGGGCUUUUGUAUGUACCAUAUGAAUAAGGAUCGGCUAACUCCGUGCCAGCAGCCGCGGUAAUACGGAGGAUCCAAGCGUUAUCCGGAUUUAUUGGGUUUAAAGGGAGCGUAGGUGGAUUGUUAAGUCAGUUGUGAAAGUGUGCGGCUCAACCGUGAAAUUGCAGUUGAAACUGGCAGUCUUGAGUACAGUAGAGGUAGGCGGAAUUCGUGGUGUAGCGGUGAAAUGCUUAGAUAUCACGAAGAACUCCGAUUGUGAAGGCAGUUCACUGGACUGCAACUGACACUGAGGCUCGAAAGUGUGGGUAGCAAACAGGAUUAGAUACCCGGGUAGUC
rnacentral:rRNA from 1 species